AGGGGCCUCAGGGAGCAGAGCACUGGGGGUGUCUCCACCAUGGCCUGGACUCCUCUCCUGCUCAGCCUCCUCACUCUCUGCCAAGGUGCUUGGGCUCAGUUUGUGCUCACUCAGCCAGCAUCAGUGUCCGGGUCUCUGGGGCAGUCAGUCACAAUCUCCUGCACUCGAAGCAGUGGCAACAUUGGUAGCGACUAUGUGCAAUGGUACCAACAGCACCAGGGCCAGGCCCCCAAGCUCAUCAUCUAUAGCUACAGUAACCAUCCCUCGGGGAUCCCAGAGAGAUUCUCUGGCACCAAAGACACCUCAGCCAACUCUGCCUCCCUGACCAUCUCUGGUCUCCAGGCUGAGGAUGAGGCUGACUACUACUGCCAAUCUGCUUACUAUAAAAGUGGCUACUACACGUGCACAGUGGCCAAGGCUUAUGAGGAAACAGCCUUCUCCUUCUAUGGUAUCACCACAGCCUCAGGGUCAGAUGGUCAGUGGGACGUAGCAUCUGCAGCCAUAUUGGCUUUACACAGACUUUGCCAUGAUCUCAACGUGGAAGAAUUUGCCAACUGGCAAGCCCCUAAACAGCGUUCCAACCUGGACAGUGAAGACGGAAGUCCCAGAAUCCAGAGCCAGGUAGGCAUGCCUCCAAAGAAGCCUCUCUUCAAGAUUCACAAUUCAUGGAUGUAA